GCCGGGAUGGCGGAACAGGUAGACGCAACGGACUUAAAAUCCGUUGAACCGUAAGGUUCGUGCGGGUUCGAGCCCCGCUCCCGGUACCA
rnacentral:tRNA from 1 species